GACGAACGCUGGCGGCGUGCUUAACACAUGCAAGUCGAACGCUGAAGCCCUGGCUUUUGUUGGGUUGGAUGAGUGGCGAACGGGUGAGUAACACGUGAGUAACCUGCCCUCUUCUUUGGGAUAACGCCCGGAAACGGGUGCUAAUACUGGAUAUUCACUGAUCUUCGCAUGGGGGUUGGUGGAAAGGUUUGUUCUGGUGGGGGAUGGGCUCGCGGCCUAUCAGCUUGUUGGUGGGGUGAUGGCCUACCAAGGCUUUGACGGGUAGCCGGCCUGAGAGGGUGACCGGUCACAUUGGGACGGAGAUACGGCCCAGACUCAUACGGGAGGCAGCAGUGGGGAAUAUUGCACAAUGGGCGAAAGCCUGAUGCAGCGACGCCGCGUGAGGGAUGGAGGCCUUCGGGUUGUAAACCUCUUUCGCUCAUGGUCAAGCCGCAACUGUGGGUUGUGGUGAGGGUAGUGGGUAAAGAAGCGCCGGCUAACUACGUG
rnacentral:rRNA from 1 species